AGCUUUGCGCAGUGGCAGUAUCAUAGCCAAUGAGGUUUAUCUGAGGCGCAAUUAUUGCUAAUUGAAAAAAAAAAAUUCAACUUGACAAAAAUGAAACAAGUAAAUUUGUUAAAUUGGUGUCAUAAUUGUACAGUG
rnacentral:snRNA from 1 species